rnacentral:rRNA from 1 species
UACUAGAGUAGCACUCGCAUAUCAAUAAGCGGAGGAAAAGAAACUAACAAGGAUUCCCCUAGUAACGGCGAGUGAAGCGGGAAGAGCUCAAAUUUGAAAUCUUAAAGGGUUUCCCUUUACGAAUUGUAGUUUAAAGAAGUGUUUUCUGUUGAGGUUUUGGUAAAAGUUCUUUGGAAUAGGACAUCAUAGAGGGUGAGAAUCCCGUAUUUGACCUUUACUUUCAACUUUGUGAUACACUUUCAAAGAGUCGGAUUGUUUGGGAAUGCAGUCCAAAAUGGGUGGUAAAUUUCAUCUAAAGCUAAAUAUUGGCGAGAGACCGAUAGCGAACAAGUACCGUGAGGGAAAGAUGAAAAGAACUUUGAAAAGAGGGUUAAACAGUACGUGAAAUUGUCAAAAGGGAAGCGUUUGACACCAGUGUUGUUUUUCUGAAAAUCAAUUAAAGAACUGUUUAUGCUAAGUUGUUUAGACUUUAUCAGCUAACUGUUUAGUUUUGAGCUUUUCUUUAAUGCACUUUUCAGUUAACAAGUCAACAUCAAUUUCUUUUGCUGUAAAAAAGCUUGAGGAAGGUGGCUUGAGAUUCGUCUUAAGUGUUUAUAGCCUCUUGCCUAUGCAGUCGGAGAGAUUGAGGUCUGCAGCGUAGAUCCUUCGGGGCUAAAUGCAUUUGUGCUAAGUUAUAGCAUUUUAUAGACAACUUGUUGACUAUGAUUUGUCUUGUAGCUUACUCGCUUAUGUUAUUUUACCUACGCUUAGGAUGUUGAGCGCAUGUCUCUCUCU